rnacentral:rRNA from 1 species
UACGGAGGAUGCAAGCGUUAUCCGGAUUCAUUGGGUUUAAAGGGAGCGUAGGUGGACUGAUAAGUCAGUGGUGAAAUCUUUGGGCUUAACCCAAAAAUUGCCAUUGAUACUGUUGGUCUUGAGUAUAGUUGCCGUUGGCGGAAUAUGACAUGUAGUGGUGAAAUACAUAGAGAUGUCAUAGAACACCGAUUGCGAAGGCAGCUGACGAAACUAUAACUGACACUGAGGCUCGAAAGUGUGGGGAUCAAACAGG